rnacentral:rRNA from 1 species
GACGAACGCUGGCGGCGUGCUUAACACAUGCAAGUCGAACGGAAAGGCCCUGCUUUUGUGGGGUGCUCUAGUGGCGAACGGGUGAGUAACACGUGAGUAACCUGCCCUUUACUUUGGGAUAACUUCAGGAAACUGGGGCUAAUACCGGAUAGGAGCUCCUGCUGCAUGGUGGGGGUUGGAAAGUUUCGGCGGUUGGGGAUGGACUCGCGGCUUAUCAGCUUGUUGGUGGGGUAGUGGCUUACCAAGGCUUUGACGGGUAGCCGGCCUGAGAGGGUGACCGGCCACAUUGGGACUGAGAUACGGCCCAGACUCCUACGGGAGGCAGCAGUGGGGAAUAUUGCACAAUGGGCGGAAGCCUGAUGCAGCAACGCCGCGUGCGGGAUGACGGCCUUCGGGUUGUAAACCGCUUUCGCCUGUGACGAAGCGUGAGUGACGGUAAUGGGUAAAGAAGCACCGGCUAACUACGUG